rnacentral:rRNA from 1 species
AUUGAACGCUGGCGGCAGGCUUAACACAUGCAAGUCGAGCGGGGUGAUGGUGCUUGCACUAUCACUUAGCGGCGGACGGGUGAGUAAUGCUUAGGAAUCUGCCUAUUAGUGGGGGACAACAUCUCGAAAGGGAUGCUAAUACCGCAUACGUCCUACGGGAGAAAGCAGGGGAUCACUUGUGACCUUGCGCUAAUAGAUGAGCCUAAGUCGGAUUAGCUAGUUGGUGGGGUAAAGGCCGACCAAGGCGACGAUCUGUAGCGGGUUUGAGAGGAUGAUCCGCCACAAUGGGACGGAGACACGGCCAAGACUCCUACGGGAGGCAGCAGUGGGGAAUAUUGGACAAUGGGGGGAACCCUGAUCCAGCCAUGCCGCGUGUGUGAAGAAGGCCUUAUGGUUGUAAAGCACUUUAAGCGAGGAGGAGGCUCUUUUGGUUAAUACCCAAGAUGAGUGGACGUUACUCGCAGAAUAAGCACCGGCUAACUCUGUGCCAGCCGCCGCAGUAA